GGGGAAUAUUGGACAAUGGACCAAAAGUCUGAUCCAGCAAUUCUGUGUGCACGAUGACGUUUUUCGGAAUGUAAAGUGCUUUCAGUUGGGAAGAAAAAAAUGACGGUACCAACAGAAGAAGUGACGGCUAAAUACGUGCCAGCAGCCGCGGUAAUACGUAUGUCACAAGCGUUAUCCGGAUUUAUUGGGCGUAAAGCGCGUCUAGGUGGUUAUGUAAGUCUGAUGUGAAAAUGCAGGGCUCAACUCUGUAUUGCGUUGGAAACUGCAUGACUAGAGUACUGGAGAGGUAAGCGGAACUGCAAGUGUAGAGGUGAAAUUCGUAGAUAUUUGUAGGAAUGCCGAUGGGGAAGCCAGCUUACUGGACAGAUACUGACGCUAAAGCGCGAAAGCGUGGGUAGCAAACAGGAUUAGAUACCCUGGUAGUCCACGCCGUAAACGAUGAUUACUAGGUGUUGGGGGUCGAACCUCAGCGCCCAAGCUAACGCGAUAAGUAAUCCGCCUGGGGAGUACGUACGCAAGUAUG
rnacentral:rRNA from 1 species